rnacentral:tRNA from 1 species
CAUCAGAUGACUGAAAGCAAGUAAUGGUCUCUUAAACCACUCCAUAGUAAAGUAGCAUUUACUUCUGAUGA